rnacentral:rRNA from 1 species
ACGAACGCUGGCGGCGUGCUUAACACAUGCAAGUCGAACGCUGAAGCACCAUCUUGCUGGUGUGGAUGAGUGGCGAACGGGUGAGUAAUACGUGAGUAACCUGCCCUUGACUCUGGGAUAAGCCCGGGAAACUGGGUCUAAUACUGGAUGCUACAUGUCACCGCAUGGUGGUGUGUGGAAAGGGUUUACUGGUCUUGGAUGGGCUCACGGCCUAUCAGCUUGUUGGUGAGGUAAUGGCUCACCAAGGCGACGACGGGUAGCCGGCCUGAGAGGGUGACCGGCCACACUGGGACUGAGACACGGCCCAGACUCCUACGGGAGGCAGCAGUGGGGAAUAUUGCACAAUGGGCGAAAGCCUGAUGCAGCGACGCCGCGUGAGGGAUGACGGCCUUCGGGUUGUAAACCUCUUUCAGCAGGGAAGAAGCCACAAGUGACGGUACCUGCAGAAGAAGCGCCGGCUAACUACGUGCCAGCAGCCGCGGUAAUACGUAGGGCGCAAGCGUUGUCCGGAAUUAUUGGGCGUAAAGAGCUCGUAGGCGGUUUGUCGCGUCUGCUGUGAAAGCCCGGGGCUUAACCCCGGGUGUGCAGUGGGUACGGGCAGACUAGAGUGCAGUAGGGGAGACUGGAAUUCCUGGUGUAGCGGUGGAAUGCGCAGAUAUCAGGAGGAACACCGAUGGCGAAGGCAGGUCUCUGGGCUGUUACUGACGCUGAGGAGCGAAAGCAUGGGGAGCGAACAGGAUUAGAUACCCUGGUAGUCCAUGCCGUAAACGUUGGGCACUAGGUG